GGCACAGCUUGGCCAGCUUGCGCAGGGAGGGCAGGCCGCCUCUGCUCUCGGGCCUGGCCUCAGGGACUGACCCCAAAGCCCCCCAGUUGUUCCCAGAGUGACCAGGGCCAAAUCAGCAGCCCCUGGCAAGCACGUGGGCUUCUCUCCUCGGUGCCAGCUUCGGCCUGCCCGUCUGCCAGCAGAGUGGCUUCACUCAGUCGCCAGCGCUGAGGAAAGGAAGGCCUGUGCCAGCCGGCGUUCCCAGCGCAGACUGCCUUGCAAGCUGCUGGCAUGCAACAAAGACCAGUCUCCCGCGGGGACCGGGGUUACUGAGAGCAUGAGCUCUACACACACGUGCAUGGGUCUUGCCUGUGUCUAGGCGUCCCCCACCUGCAGCUGAGCCACAGGGUCCCCCUAAAACAUCACGGGGGGCAGACGGUACGGUCUUACGGGGCCCUUGUCUCUGAGCACCCGGAAGGCUAUAUCCAGGCUUGAGCUGGGGCCUGACCCGGGGCUCUGGGAUGCUCCUUCUCCCCGCCCUGCUGCCAAACUUCCCGUGUGGUCCGCACUUGCCCUGGACCCCCUCCUCCUCAGCUGCCCUGUCCUGCGCCCGCCCCGAGGGGCCGAAGCGGCAGUGCCUUACUGCUCCGUGUCUUCUGCCUCCCCUGAGGGAUCCGGCCCCGUCUCAUGGUCCCAGACCUCAAUUCUCUCGUCACUUGCAUGAGUUUGC